GCAGCUAUUAAGCUUCAUUUAAAGAAAAUCCUGACUUUGCACCACAGGCGAAUGGAUCCGAUGGAUUGGAUGGAACAGUGGUUACUGCCUAUGGACGAACUAAAAGAGAAUAAAAUGAAGACGGCACGAGCGCAUCAAAUUAAGCAGGAAGGAGAAGACAACUGCGACUCGGGGGACAGAAGACACUGGACGGCAGCGACGACAAGAGCAAACAGCAAGUAAAAUACAUACUACAAUAAAAACCCCUAACCAAUGUAAUUUGAUACCGAAAAUCAUUAUGCACUAACAUAGUGCCUACCUCGAUAUGUAUAUAUGUACAUAUAUACAUAUGUAUAAAUAAACAAGCUGAGUUCCCUCGCCGAGCCACAGAGUCAGAUAAAGAACGAACCAAAAGACGACGACGACUAAUUGCCAUCAAUUUUUUGCAU
ensembl:ncRNA lncRNA:CR45935 long non-coding RNA:CR45935